rnacentral:rRNA from 1 species
GACGAACGCUGGCGGCGUGCUUAACACAUGCAAGUCGAACGGAAAGGCCCUGCUUUUGUGGGGUGCUCGAGUGGCGAACGGGUGAGUAACACGUGAGUAACCUGCCCUUGACUUUGGGAUAACUUCAGGAAACUGGGGCUAAUACCGGAUAGGAGCUCCUGCUGCACGGUGGGGGUUGGAAAGUUUCGGCGGUUGGGGAUGGACUCGCGGCUUAUCAGCUUGUUGGUGGGGUAGUGGCUUACCAAGGCUUUGACGGGUAGCCGGCCUGAGAGGGUGACCGGCCACAUUGGGACUGAGAGACGGCCCAGACUCCUACGGGAGGCAGCAGUGGGGAAUAUUGCGCAAUGGGCGGAAGCCUGAUGCAGCAACGCCGCGUGCGGGAUGACGGCCUUCGGGUUGUAAACCGCUUUCGCCUGUGACGAAGCGUGAGUGACGGUAAUGGGUAAAGAAGCACCGGCUAACUACGUG